AUCCGGCUGACGAGUCCCAAAUAGGACGAAACGUGUAUCGUGGAU
rnacentral:hammerhead_ribozyme from 1 species